rnacentral:rRNA from 1 species
AGAGUUUGAUCCUGGCUCAGAAUCAACGCUGGCGGAGUGCCUCAGACAUGCAAGUCGAACGAGAAAAUUCCCUUCGGGGAAUAAGUAAAGUGGCGCACGGGUGAGUAACACGUAGGUAAUCUACCUUCGGNUGGGGAAUAACCCAGGGAAGCUUGGGCUAACACCGCAUGAUGCAGCGGCACCACAUGGUGACAGUUGUUAAAGCGGGGGAUUUUCGGACCUGGCGCCUGAAGAGGAGCCUGCGGCGGAUUAGCUAGUUGGUGAGGUAACCGCUCACCACGGUAACGAUCCGUAGCCGGCCUGAGAGGGCGGUCGGCCACACUGACACUGACAUACGCGUCAGACUCCUACGAGAGGCAGCAGUCGGGAAUUUUGGGCAAUGGCCGGAAGCCCGACCCAGCAACGCCGCGUGAAGGAUGAAAUCCCUNNGGAUGUAAACUUCGCAAGAAUGGGAAGAAUUAGUAGGGGUUAAUACCCCCU